rnacentral:misc_RNA from 1 species
GUGAAUCAUCAAAUUUUUGAACGCAAAUUGCACUCUCUGGUAUUCCGGGGAGUAUUCCUGUUUGAGGGUCAGUUUAAAUAAACAUCGGUGUGGUUGCUGCCUUUCGUGGUGACGCACCGGAUGUGGGUUGUCUUGCCUUGGGUUAAGUGACCUAAAAUCUUGCAUGCUUUUUUCGGACGUAUUUAAAUGAUUUUACGUACGUUUGCGAUAUCGAAUAUUUGGUUCGGACAUC